UCCUCGUUAGUAUAGUGGUAGUAUGCCCGUCUGUCGCACGGGAGACCGGGGUUCGAUUCCCCGACGAGGAG
rnacentral:tRNA from 1 species